CAGUAUGGCCAUGCUACCCUGAACAAGCCCGAUCUUGUCUGAUCUCGGAAGCUAAGCAGAGUUGGGCCUGGUUAGUACUUGGAUGGGAGACCACCUAGGAAGACCAGGUGUUGUAGGUG
rfam:Pteropus alecto contig62811, whole genome shotgun sequence.